rnacentral:miRNA from 4 species
UACCCAGAGCAUGCAGUGUGAA